AUGGGAAAUACUCUGGGAGAAUCGGAAGGUUUCAGGGUCAGUUUAAAGUCAAGCUAAGGAGAUUGCGACUCGUGGAGCAAUCACAAUCGUCCAUCUCUACCGGACAAUUCUUGACUGUUACUCGUCUUCUUCCGUUUCUUAUAUCGAUCUGUAAUUCUGUUUUUCUCUUUACGAUUCAUAAGUUUGUUAAAUCGAGAGAGUAGAGAGAGAGAGAGCAGAACGAUUGUAGUGAGAGAGAGCUCGGUUUUGAGCUAAGAGUUUUAGUGGAUUCCGGAGAAAUCUUCGGCGAGACGUAGGAUUCCAAAUCGGAAUCGAACUCGUAAAAUCUCUCAUGUCCGUUCUAAGUUUCUUUGUGUUCAGCAUCAAACGAGAGAGAGAGAGAGAGAGAGAG
rnacentral:sRNA from 1 species